rnacentral:rRNA from 1 species
UGGGGAAUUUUCCGCAAUGGGCGAAAGCCUGACGGAGCAAUGCCGCGUGGAGGUGGAAGGCCUACGGGUCGUCAACUUCUUUUCUCGGAGAAGAAACAAUGACGGUAUCUGAGGGAAUAAGCAUCGGCUAACUCUGUGCCA